ACUUAACCCGGUCCAAUUCCUUUUCUUUGGACUAGCUUGUGUGUGAGAAUAGGUUGAUUCGUAGGCCUCAAGGCCUCAUAAUGGAUGUGAGUUAGGGGGAAUUUUGUGGGCUUUGGUUGGAGUCAAAUAUAUGCAUAAGAUUCUUUCACUCUUUAAGUAAGUUUUAAUUGUUUUUAUUAUUACAUGCCUCCUAACCUUACUCUUUUACUCCCAUACCACUUAUAACCCCUAAUCCCUUUAUCUAUGCCCUGAUUCAAGCAAGGAUUUUUUUUUUUUUUUUUUUUUUGAUGCAAAAGAGAGGCUAGGCCCCGGAAAACAAAGCUACAAAAUUAAGGAGGAAUUAAUCGCGGCAUAGCCACGCCUACUACAUCAUCAUGUAAAAUGCGCCCUAAAGCUAGGGACGGGAAUUGAAUCAACUCUAUCUUGUUGUUCUGGGUAUUACCUUGAUUUGCUAGCCAAUCUGCAGCUCGAUUACCUUCUCUGAACACAUGUAUAAUUUCAAGCAAGGAAUAUGAUUAGCCUCCUCUCCCCUUUGCCGUGAAUACAACCCCAAAGAAGAAAACACAAAAAACCGUGAGUAUACAUCCUUGUUCCUCCAUUUUUGUACCUUGUUUCUCCCUCCAAUCGUACAAAUCUAAUGCUGGAUUUUCACACCAAGAAACAUCAUUUUAUCCUCUUAAUUUAAGGGUAAAAAUAUGUUUUCAAGAUCAUCAAGAGGGCUAAGUCUCCUUGGAGUCCUCUUCUUUUUUGUAGGUUGUAACAAGAGGCUAUCAAGACUAUCGAGGGCGUGGAGCCUUCUCGAGCACAAGUUUAUAUUGAGACUCAUAAGGAUAGAAAGACGAAGGACAAAAAAAAAUUGAUGAAGAAUCAGCUCGAGCAGUUACCUAAUGAAAGAAAAACUAGCUGAACUUCCCGGUGGAGUUGAACAGUCUAAAGGACGAAUUGCUUGGCAAAGUGAUGUUUAUGAUCAAGUUAUUAACAAGCCGGAAAGGUGUGGCAAAGUGCGGGGAGUGGGAUUUGGAGUUUUGCCUUCCAGUUUACGGGACAAAACACCAACUAAUCAAUCAAGUUAUGCUUUAUCAAAUGAUGUUGUCUCCAACAAGCAAAUUGAGAAUCUAGUAGAGGAUAGGAUAAAGGCGAUACAAGAAAACCAUAACCAAGCUAUGAAGAAUGUACUUGAGAAACAAGCUGCUAUGGAGGAGAAACUCUCAAAGCUAAUUCAAUUUCUGGUAGAAAAUGCAUCAAACAAAGAGGAGACUUAUAUGAGUGAACAAGAUGGCAGUGCGACAUGGGGGUCAUGAAGUGUAAAGCUUAGGUAGCAAAGUACAAAGACGAUAACUCUUCAUUUGGCAAACGGUGAAGUUGGGUGUAUUUGGGGAAGCACAUGACUUUAUCGAGUUAUACUAUAUUAGAAGUUGCAUUGUAGUAGUUAAUUAGUUAUUUAUCUUGUCAUCUGCAGAUUAUUAGAUAACAUUUGUUAAGUUUUUAAGACUAUUAGACAAUUAUAUAUCACCUAUGUAAUGACUUAUGACUUACUCUUUAUGAGUUAUUUAUUUAUA